rnacentral:rRNA from 1 species
CGUAGGGUGCAAGCGUUGUCCGGAAUUAUUGGGCGUAAAGGGCUCGUAGGCGGUUUGUCACGUCGGGAGUGAAAACUCAGGGCUUAACCCUGAGCCUGCUUCCGAUACGGGCAGACUAGAGGUAUGCAGGGGAGAACGGAAUUCCUGGUGUAGCGGUGAAAUGCGCAGAUAUCAGGAGGAACACCGGUGGCGAAGGCGGUUCUCUGGGCAUUACCUGACGCUGAGGAGCGAAAGCGUGGGGAGCAAACAGG